GGAAAAAAUAAGUGUAUUGCUUUCAAAAUAAGAGGGAAAAAAAGUAGUCUGGAAAAUUGUUUUCAUUGCACAUCUGUGGGAGUUGAAAAUUGAGCCUAGAGCUUAUAAGACAUUCUUGUAUUCAUGCAUCUCAACAAAUAAUACUUAUGGCCUCUAAGGUAAGCUAGCCCUGUGGCACUGCAGAAAAACCAAAGACCCACUACCUGCCCUCUGACAACUUAUAGUUCUGCCACCCAAACAAGAGAAAACUUCAAUCGCUGCCUUUGAGCGCCACAUCCCAGGAAAGGAAGAAACAUGCUCCAGGGCUGGAAGUUCGUCUUUGAGGGGAGGAAGUUCCCUGGAGUCUGCAGCAGAUGGGGGAGGCCCCAGUGGGGCGCACGUGGAUGCAUUUCUGGGAGGAAACCAAGUACCAUCCGCUCUCGCUCGCUCCCAUCCAGUGUUUUCUUCCCCCAGCUUGGGAGAAUUUAAAGAGAUGACCCACAGGAAAAGCAUCUACCACACGGUGCAGGCUGUUGAUUAGGAAACGCAGCCUCCCUUGAGUUUCUGUGUGGGUGAACCUGGCUCCUGGGGCCCCGGGUGGGGGUGCCAGGCUUCAGAAUCUGCACACUGCUUCACCACCCCCGCAGCCUGUGAUCCCAAGCCAGGCCCUCUGAUCCGGCAGCUGUCAACACAAGCACACUCCAGUGCUUUCUGCUUUGCUGUUGGCCUCCCUCGGGAAGCUUUGAACACUACUGAGAUCAUCAUUGUCAAACUCUCUGGGCUCUGGUGCAAGGGCAGUCAGAUAAGGAGGAAUAUGACGUGCCAACCCUCCUCUUUGGUCCCCAGCCCCCAGCCUCACCCUGCUGACCUCUGGCUCCUGCUUAGCUCAGAAACUGUGGGCUCAGAACAAAGUUUGAGGUUCUGCUUCUCUGAUUCACCCCUUUCUCCUUCCUGAUUACUGGCAUGGAGCCAGGCACUGCAGGACAGAAAUCAGGACUCAGGUUUCUCAACUGGAAAAUGGGGAUUUUAAAAAAAAUCCAUGCCUAACUCCCAAGGCUGUCACGAGAAUGGAUUAAGGCAAAAGCUGUGAAAGUGCUUUACAAAUGAGAAAGCCUCCUAUUCUUCACUUUCUUCUGAUGGCAAAUCCCCAGCUCUCCUUCCCAAGGUUCUUGCUCUCCCGGCACAAUGUACCCUGAGCACUACACAUGCCUGUCCACCUUUGCUUCAUGAAGAACCAUGAUAUGUCGCCAUUCAAAAUCCAAAUAAAGCCUCACGAGUGAAUCUACUUAUGGGAGACAGAAUAAAGCAAUGGCUAAGAGCUCUAGCAAGAGUAAAAAAUCAAGUCUCCAAUUUUUAGCUCUACCACUUACUAACAGUGUUAACUUUGAACAAUCAUUUUACCUCUCUAAGCCUCAGUUUCCCCAUCUAUAAAGUAGGAUAAUAAUAAUACCUGUCUUAUCAGGUAGAUAAUGUAUAUGUAACAUUCCUUUCUUAUCAGGUAGAUAAUGUAUAUGUAGCACUAGGGACAUAUUAAAUACCCAAUAAAUGGCUACUGUUGUUAUCUCCUCUUGUUUUAGUCUCGAC
rnacentral:lncRNA from 10 species